AACGUAGGUGGCAAGCGUUGUCCGGAAUUAUUGGGCGUAAAGAGCUCGUAGGCGGUCUGUCGCGUCGGCUGUGAAAACUCGGGGCUCAACCCCGAGCCUGCAGUCGAUACGGGCAGACUAGAGUGCUGUAGGGGAGACUGGAAUUCCUGGUGUAGCGGUGAAAUGCGCAGAUAUCAGGAGGAACACCGGUGGCGAAGGCGGGUCUCUGGGCAGUAACUGACGCUGAGGAGCGAAAGCGUGGGGAGCGAACAGG
rnacentral:rRNA from 1 species